AUUGAACGCUGGCGGCAGGCCUAACACAUGCAAGUCAGGGGUAACAUGAAAAAGCUUGCUUUUCUGAUGACGACCGGCGCACGGGUGCGUAACGCGUAUACAACCUACCUUUUAGCGGGGAAUAGCCCAGGGAAACUUGGAUUAAUGCCCCAUAGUAUAUGGACUUCUCCUGAAGUUUAUAUUAAACAUUUAUGGCUAUUAGAUGGGUAUGCGUCCUAUUAGUUAGUUGGUAAGGUAACGGCUUACCAAGGCAGCGAUAGGUAGGGGUCCUGAGAGGGAGAUCCCCACACUGGUACUGAGACACGGACCAGACUCCUACGGGAGGCAGCAGUGAGGAAUAUUGGACAAUGGGCGAGAGCCUGAUCCAGCCAUGCCGCGUGCAGGAAGACUGCCCUAUGGGUUGUAAACUGCUUUUACAGAGGAAGAACCACCCCCACGUGUGGGGGUUUGACGGUACUCUGCGAAUAAGGAUCGGCUAACUCCGUG
rnacentral:rRNA from 1 species